rnacentral:rRNA from 1 species
GACGAACGCUGGCGGCGUGCUUAACACAUGCAAGUCGAACGAGAGCGUAGAGAAAGCUUGCUUUUUCUACAAUCUAGUGGCAAACGGGUGAGUAACGCGUAAACAACCUGCCCUACGGAUGGGGACAACAGCUGGAAACGGCUGCUAAUACCGAAUACGUUCCGAAAGUCGCAUGACUAUCGGAAGAAAGGAUGGCCUCUAUUUAUAAGCUAUCGCCGGAGGAGGGGUUUGCGUCUGAUUAGCUAGUUGGAGGGGUAACGGCCCACCAAGGCGACGAUCAGUAGCCGGUCUGAGAGGAUGAACGGCCACAUUGGAACUGAGACACGGUCCAGACUCCUACGGGAGGCAGCAGUGGGGAAUCUUCCGCAAUGGGCGAAGCCUGACGGAGCAACGCCGCGUGAGUGAAGACGGCCUUCGGGUUGUAAAGCUCGGUUAUACGGGACGAAUAAUCUUGUGGUUAAUACCCAUGAGAAGUGACGGUACCGUAAGAGAAAGCCACGGCUAACUACGUG